GACGAACGCUGGCGGCGUGCUUAACACAUGCAAGUCGAACGGAAAGGCCCUGCUUUUGUGGGGUGCUCGAGUGGCGAACGGGUGAGUAACACGUGAGUAACCUGCCCUUGACUUUGGGAUAACUUCAGGAAACUGGGGCUAAUACCGGAUAGGAGCUCCUGCUGCAUGGUGGGGGUUGGAAAGUUUCGGCGGUUGGGGAUGGACUCGCGGCUUAUCAGCUUGUUGGUGGGGUAGUGGCUUACCAAGGCUUUGACGGGUAGCCGGCCUGAGAGGGUGACCGACCACAUUGGGACUGAGAUACGGCGCAGACUCCUACGGGAGGCAGCAGUGGGGAAUAUUGCACAAUGGGCGGAAGCCUGAUGCAGCAACGCCGCGUGCGGGAUGACGGCCUUCGGGUUGUAAACCGCUUUCGCCUGUGACGAAGCGUGAGUGACGGUAAUGGGUAAAGAAGCACCGGCUAACUACGUG
rnacentral:rRNA from 1 species